rnacentral:rRNA from 1 species
ACUGGGAAGAGUCCAGCGCUGAAUCGCGGCRCCUCUGGUGCCGCGAGGUGUAGCGUACAGACCGUGAGCAUGGGUUGGCCUGCCCGUUCAAGUUUCCCUUGACCGGGGCUCCAGAGAAGGUGCAAGACCUGUCCAACGGGCGGCAGCCAGUCCAUUUUCGCGUGUCUCGGAGUCGGGUUGUUUGGGAUCGCAGCCCAAAGCAGGUGGUAAACUUCAUCUAAGACUGAAUAUGACUACGAGUCCGAUAGCGAACAAGUACCGUGAGGGAAAGUUGCAAAGCACUUUGAAGAGAGAGUUAAAGAGGACGUGAAACCGAUGAGGUGGAAACGGACAGAGCUGGCGUAUCUGGCCUGUAUUCAGCCACGGGCCCGCCGGUGUCAGGGAUGCCGCUCUCCAGAUUGGGACGGUGGCCUGUCUGCUGGUGGGUUUGUGGUGCAUUUGCAGGUGGAGUGCGCCGAGGCGCUCGGGCACAGCGGCAUGAGCCCAGUUUUGAGGCCAGCCUCGCAAGAGGUCUGGUACCCGGACUGGGGGAGUGUUGUUUGGCCUGGGUGUACAAGUGGGGCAAUGGAAUCGGGCCCGGGUGGGUGCCGAGCUGGCAGUCGGCGUCGGUCGCAUGCGACACGUGCCAGCGGUCAGUUCGGUCCUGCUCGAGCUCACAUCUGCCCGUCCUCGGUGUAAAAGCCGGUCAUCUGUCCGACCCGUCUUGAAACACGGACCAAGGAGUUUAGCGUGUGCGCGAGUCAUUGGGCGUUAAAAACCCAAAGGCGCAAUGAAAGUGAAGGUCUCCCUUGCGGAGCUGAUGUGUGAUCCUGGUGCACUGCGGUGCCCGGGCGCAACAUAGUCCCGUCCCGACCGCAUGCGGUGGGGCGGAGACAGAGCGUACGCGCU